rnacentral:rRNA from 1 species
UUGAACGCUGGCGGCAUGCCUUACACAUGCAAGUCGAACGGCAGCACGGGGGCAACCCUGGUGGCGAGUGGCGAACGGGUGAGUAAUGCAUCGGAACGUGCCCUGAAGUGGGGGAUAACGUAGCGAAAGUUACGCUAAUACCGCAUAUUCUGUGAGCAGGAAAGCAGGGGAUCGCAAGACCUUGCGCUUUAGGAGCGGCCGAUGUCGGAUUAGCUAGUUGGCGAGGUAAAGGCUCACCAAGGCGACGAUCUGUAGCUGGUCUGAGAGGACGACCAGCCACACUGGAACUGAGACACGGUCCAGACUCCUACGGGAGGCAGCAGUGGGGAAUUUUGGACAAUGGGCGCAAGCCUGAUCCAGCAAUGCCGCGUGCAGGAUGAAGGCCUUCGGGUUGUAAACUGCUUUUGUACGGAACGAAACGGCUCUUUUUAAUACAGAGGGCUAAUGACGGUACCGUAAGAAUAAGCACCGGCUAACUACGU